CGCACGUUCUUCGCAAGAAUUUCUCUUGAUCAGCUGAUAAUAAUAGAUUUAUGAUACAUACAUUACAUUUCUCAACAACCACACACACACACACACACACACAUAUAUAACAACACUAUCUUUUCUGAAACAUAUCCAACAUCAGAUGCCAGAAGAAGAAUCCUCAAUAUCUACCAUGUUUUAAAGACUAAAGGAAAAUAUUAUACAAAUCAGAUGUAUAACAUUGUUUGUACAAAUCUGUGGAAGAAUUCUUGUGAAACAUUUACUCUGGAAUAAUAUUAUUAGCCAAAUUUGUGAACAUUAUUGACUGGAAUGUCAAGAAGAUAAGACUGUGUCAUGAUUAAAGUUUGAUAAAUUUAUGAAAGUGUUGCUAAACAAAGGUAACACUGGACAGAAAUACAGCAGCAGAAGUGUAUGUAAGGAACAAAGUAUAAAAACAAAAGCAAGAAAAAUAUAUUGACUGGGAUUUGAGAG
rnacentral:lncRNA from 1 species